GGGGUCGUAGCUCAGUUUGGUUAGAGCGCCAGUCUGUCACACUGGAGGUCGCGAGUUCGAGACUCGUCGGCCCCGCAA
rnacentral:tRNA from 1 species